GUGUCCUUUUAAAGUUGACUCAGUGCUUUAAGAGGCUAACACAGAAGGGCAAAGUAAGUCUCCAUAAAACCCAGAGAGGAGAUUGUACAGACUCCUCCUUGGAUCCUGUCUGGAGUCACAGCC